CUUAAUCAUGCUAAUUUCUUUUUAUUUAUGAUUUUAAUUAUCCCACCAAUAUAAUACCCUUAAAUUUUUAAGUAUGUAAAAUGAAAUGUUUUUUUUCUAUAGAUAUUUCAUUAAUGUCCUUGAGAGUACGAGUGGCUGGGCCGAAAAUGGCCCCAUGUCCUUUUACAUAUUAUUAAAUUUAUAAUAUUUAAAUUAUUUCCCUAUUCAAUCUGGUAGCCCCAAGGGACUAUCCCAGCUUCAUCGGUUUGAUAGGCGAUCUCACAGCGCUUAGCGUGAGUGAACUUACUAACACUAACCUUAGCAAGAGCAGUACUUCGCUGAAUCUACCACCAGAUCGGAAUCGUGACCCACUGAGAAGAUCCGGUCUAAAUGUGCGGCUUUUGAUGUAAUGAUGGACAUUUCAACGUGAAGCGUUAGGUUAAAGCAACUCAACAACAGAUGUGAUGCUCAAAAACAAAAUUUAAGAGUGCAUUAAUUUCCCUUAGAUCAUGAAUAUCUGAAGAAUCUAUCUACAUGAAGAAAGAAGAAAUCUAUUCUAGAUGAAAGAGUCUAGUUCAUGCUAAAUUUGGGCAUCAAUUAUUAAUACUUUGGACUUAAUCACAACAGAUCAAUGUGGGUCACAGUGAAUGGUUAAUUUACAGUCCCCGUGCCACUCAAUAUUAGAACAAUAUUAAAAGUUAAUGCCACUAACUAUAAA